ACAUUAUGACAGUGACAGUUAUUCACCAGCGAACUGCUAUUUGUUUUUGUGUUUAUAUUUAUUUAUAAGCUGGCCGAUAUAUUUUUAAAUCUUUGUAAUCAUACUAAGUGCUAUAUUAUUAUAUUAGAAUAGACUGUAGUAUGGCGGAUAUUGAAAAUCUUGCUAACAGUUUAACUCACGACGAACUUCUGGAAGUCACAAAAUCGUCGUUGUGCACGCUUAUGAGCUGCGAACCGUUAUUUUCUGAUCUUCCACAAGACAUCGUCCUGGAAGAGGUUUUAUCACAGAUAGCAGUAGAGCAUGGACAAGCUAUAACUGUGUUGAUAUCUAGAGAAGAGGAGCCGCCCUUGAAGGUUAUACAACGGCCUAAAGCAUGCCAUUUCUUUGUGAUAGUAGGACUGCUUGUUUUCGUCCUAGAAAUUUUCAUAUAUACAUGCAGCUUUUUUAUAUCAAUGUUGCACGUGGACGAAUGUGGAGUGGGCAGCGUGUAUCGUGCCGCAUUAAAAGUAAUAAUAGUACCACUAAUUAUCUUUUACUUCGUUGUUGUCGUCAAUUCAUUUGAGAGUGGUCUUGUACCACAGGCGUUUUAAUGUAUCUAAUAGUACAAGUACAUACCUACAAGUACAUACCUAAAAAAUAUAAUGUGGCACUUGCUAUGCACUGGCCAGGUUGACUACGCCUAUGUUCGUCUCGGAAACAUACCGCAAAUUGCUACAGUUCGAGAAUUGAAGAAAGCUGUAGCGAGACAUUUUGAAUUUCACCAGAAUAGGACUGGAAGCAAAGUGAAGAUUUCCUGGAGAUAUAUCUGGAGGACUUACGAUCUUAAUUUUGAUGGAAUA